CCCUUAGAUGUUCUGGGCGGCCCGCGCACUACAUUGGCACUCUCAAUAAGUUCCUAGAUCUAAAACUUUGGGGUAUUCUAUUAAGUGGUGUCGUGACUGGGAUUAACCCUUGCAAUUAUUGGUUACGAACGAGGAAUUCCUUGUAAUCGCGGUUUAUCAGCCCGCGUUGAAUGCGUCCCUGCCCUUUGUACACACCGCCCGUCGCUCCUACCGAUGAAUCGUCUGGUGAAGUUCAUGGAGUGGUGGUUGUUCCAGCUGCUGUCGAAGUGAAAUGGACCUCACGAUUUAGAGGAAGGAGAAGUCGUAACA
rnacentral:rRNA from 1 species